rnacentral:misc_RNA from 1 species
AAGUCGUAACAAGGUUUCCGUAGGUGAACCUGCGGAAGGAUCAUUAACACUAUUUUACAAAAACAAAUUAUGUGCCGUGAGUAGCAAUGCUCUCGUCACUGUUUGUUUUUCCAAACCAACUACCCAAACUUUAUGAAAGUGCUGGUUGAUUUUCACAUUUAUCCGUCAAAAAGAUAAAUGAAAAAAAAUCACUUUUUCACUUCUUUUUCUUUAUUAACCCCAAACUCUUUCAUUGCUAAUGCAAAUGACAAUUACAAAAACUAAAUAACUACUUUAACGUAACCAAACAACUCUUAGCAACGGAUAUCUUGGCUCUC